AAAAAAUAGAAAAUGCGGCUCCUCUCGUCGAUCCCUGCUCUCAUACGCAAACGCAAGUCUUCUCUCUUCUCUCCCCCCGCGGCUCGCCGCCGCCGCCAUCACCACUCACGACGGCCGAUUCCGGCGAGCACCGGGGGCGGGUGGCAGAUCAACGAUCUCCCCACGCCCCGCUCCUUCCUCCCAUCCCUCCAGAUCCAACGGCGCCGAAGCCGAGGCCGAGGGUGGAGGCGACACCUCGUCCUCAUCCUCCUCGUCCUCCGCCGCCGUCUCCUCCUCCUCUAGUGCCCCUCCAGCGGCCGCAACAGCAGCCUCGCCGGCGGCGAUGAGGACGAGGACGGCGUCGACGACGGGGGCGGCGGGGAGUACGAACUCGUUCGGCGUCGUGCCCGUCAGGCCCGCCGCCGGGUACGGGGACCAGGAGGAAGAGGAGGCGAGAGAUUUGUUCGACUCCGACAACGAGGAGUACGUCAAGACCCUCCGCGUAGCAACUACCUAAUUCCAGCGCGGGAUGCGACAACGCAUUUGGCCGGAGGAGAACGUGGCAGCGGCAUCUCCUGGCGAUGGCGGUGGGCAGGCAAUGCUUCAAGGCGACGGGCUGAGGCGGCGGUGCAGGGAUCCGCUCGAUCUGCUGUUGCUGCUGAGGGCGGACGGGGGAGCCGGGUCGAGGUGGCAGGUUCAUCCAUGAUGCCAACGGAGCGAGACCAACGGGGAAAGGAACAGGGCGUGGCCCCACAUGGUGGCUUGCCGUCUGCUUCACUGUUUCAUACCUUUCUCUGUACAAUUUCUUCAGCUUCAGAAACUAUUUUAUUUUUAGAAGGGAUUUGAGAUGGUGCCCGACAUUAUAGUAAGUUCAAGACUGUUGCUGAAUGAGCGGUGUGUGCAACCAGACCUCCGUCCACUUGUUUCUAUGUUUGAAUAUUCACCGGUUCUUGAGAAUCUGACGCUUCAAUUGCGCAAGAUUUGCCAAGUCAUUUUUCCUUCGAGGGUUAGUUUACUAUGCCGAUCCGAGCCAGCAUCAGGCGCGCCAAGCUCGCCGUCCACAUGCCUCCUCUUCGUCUGCAGCCGCAGUGCCAAAUCGCUCCCCAUCCGAGCAGGUAGCACCCAGUUCCCACCUUGUAACCGUUCGCUUUUAUUCUGUCCGUGUUUCCGUCCUCUCAUCUUUGCCGGUGGGUCAGGCCUCGGUUGCUAUUGUUUGAUUCUGUUGGUCAAAACUAUUUCAUAGGCACUUCUAUUACUUUGGGUUAGUAUAUAUGCUAGAGGUUUAGGGUACCUUUUACGAAGGUUAUAUUAUUUUAGGUUUUGGCGAAAGACAAAAAUAUAUAAUAUUUAAUUAAAGCUUAGUUCAUCACUGAAAUAAUUAUGAAUAUCAAUCCAGUAAAGGUAUGAUGUACUCAUGACUUUUCUUCUUUAUGUUUGGUCUUCAAGAUAUGUAUGCCACCAUGUAAAAUAUUUAUCUAAUAACUUCUCUAUUGUCGUGCAACUAUAUCUUAACUUCUUGAUAAUGCAGUAGAUGAGGUUUGUAAUAUCUUCUAACAUCUUCUAUGAACUAGAUAGUCACUAAUUUAAACUGUGUGAUAAUACCCAAAUGUCUGAAACACUGAGUAUUCUGUUGUAAGCUGAAAAUUUGAAAUUUCACAUUCCUGUUUCUGGAAAAACCAUGCUAUACUGCUAUCUAACACAAUGCUCUGUUGAUCGAUGUUUUAGUAACUUCGUGUAUUAUACUCUGUUGACGAAAAACCAUGCUAAACCCUAAAAAACAUGCUAUACUACUACUACAUUUAUUUAUUUUGUUGUAUUCGUGUAUUGUAACACAAUGCUUUGUUGAUCAGCAUGUUAAUAAUUUCGCUUCCUAACAUAUGCCUCAUCACUAAUGACGGCGACAUGGAACAACACUUCUCUGAUGUUAGUACUGUAAAGUAGAGAAAUUCAUUUGCAAGCAUGUGCCGUCGCAAAUUUGGUGGGUACAUUAGACAUUAACAAUUUGUAUGACCUCACAUUCGUCGGUGCUAAUAUUUUAUGAAUAAACAUGAGUGUAAAGGUGGUUAAGAAUUCUGAUGGAUAGUGAUGGGGAGAUAUUUACCGAGGUUGCUAGGCGGGAGGACUUCCCUUUUCUGCAAGGACUUCUCUAGGUGGGUCGUUCUGAUUUCAUAAGAUUGAAAGAACUGGACAUUGAGCUAAUUAGUCAUGUGAUUGGGCACUGAAAAUGUUUCUCAUAUUAGUUUGUUAAUAUGCUUUUACUUGUUGCAGUUUAGAAAUUUGUGUUUGUCUUGAGUAAUUUUCUGCUCUGCUUACGUUAAGAUUUUGUCUGGAAAAUUUAUGCAGCUCUUUGUUUGCACUUUAGAUGACUGUGCGUGAAGCACUGAGUUGCGCCCUUGAUGAGAUGUCUGGCAAUGCUUCUGUUUUCUUAAUGGGAGAAGAGGUACCACGAUACCACCUGGAAGACUAAGUAGUAAUAUAUUUUUCUUUCCUUUAUUUGUGCCUCUAAAUACUUGUUAUUUCUCUGACAGGGUGGUUUGAAUAAAAACUACUUCUCAGUUUCCAUGUUUUUCGAUAUUUUGGUGCCUGUUUUUUAUAUUCAGUUUUGCAGAUUUUAAUUAUGGAUCUAAGGAUUCAAAUUUGUUCCAAGCUUUUUUCUUGCAGUAAAACUCUUACUAGAGACAACUGGAAAUAGGAAACCAAGUGAACUACCAGUUUUGUCUUGAACAAUCACUACUCUGGUUUUAUUAUGGCAUACCUAAAUUUAUUCUUAGAGAAAGCUUGACAUGCAUAUUGGAUUUGCUUAUGUAUUGUUUCAGUAACAUGAUUAUAUAGUAAUCUGUUUAUAACUAUGUAAGAGCCAAUAGGAGACAGAACAUUGUAGCUUUAUACUACUAUUACAGUUAUACAUGAUUCUAUAUAGCUAAAAAUAUGUCCUGUUGUAUUCAAACGACAGAUCCUUCUAAUACAACAGCUAUACAUUGGCAGAGAGAUAAUAUAUACUGGUUUCAGUCAGAUUUUGUUCUUCAUGUCCAUAUAUAAGUUCUCUUAUUAUCUCUUUGUGUACAUCUUCAAAUAGCAACUUAAUUGGUGUGGAAUUUAUGUUCCUGGUUUAUGUAGCUACAUAAAUAUCAGGAACUAUGUUGCAGUGUUUAUUCCUUAGCACUUUUGAUUUACAAAUAAGUCUACUAUUGUAUAAUCCUUGUAACUGAAGUUGGUUGUUCAAGCAAACACAAUGUGCACUGACAGAAGAUGGCAGGAACAAUGGUACACAUUCAAGUAUGUAUCUGCCAAAGUUGAUUAUGUUUAACUCUAGGCAUUGCUAUGUAAUGGUGUACUAUUCUUUGAAGAAUUUGUAGGAGGUACUAGAAAAGUAUGACUUGAUGAGGGAUGCCUUGAUUUCAAAAGACAUCCUGAAAGAAUUUAGUUUAGUAAAAUAUUGUAUAGCCUUCUCGUAAAAGUUUGAUACACUUUUCAAGAAAACAAACUUUGGUUAAUCAUUAAGAUAUAACUUUUCUCAUAUUUGAACAACAAGGUUAUUUGAGUUCUGCUAAAAAAGGUUAUUUUUUGUAACUUUUGCGAACUUUGUGGAAAGAAGCUGCAAAUAACUGAUUUCGCUGUCAAGUCUACAAUUCAAUGUUGAUCUAGAGGGUGGAAUUUUUAAACUUCAUUGAUGCUUUCUUGUCCGUUUUGAUCUAAUAUCUGUCUGAUGUGGUUUGUAUAAAGCUUAUGGUGGUAUAAUUAGUUUUGCUUUUUUUAGGAUAUAAUAAGGUUGUAGAUAGACGGAGACUGAAUUAGUUCACAUUACUUUGAUGUCUAUCGAGCCAAUGGGACAACAAAGGUAGUUCCUUCGCACAAUUUGAAGAAUGUUAUUUCAUAUUGCAUGAUAUAUCUGACUCAUUUCAGUGGGCCUUCAGUUAAUUUGAGGCAUCCUUUCCUAGGAUCUUACCUUGAUAUUCCUCUAUUUUCUCCUAUUCGUCCCAUGCUUUUUUAAGAACUGAAAUAAUUAUAACCAGUGUUACAAAUGUUUGCUGAGGAAAAGUCCUUGCAAAAAAGAAGAACCGGAAGAAGGCUUUCUAUCUUCACCAGUAUUUCCUUUUGUUUCUAAUUGUUGGCUCUUUCCUAUGGCCUAAGAGUAAGGAUUAAUGCUUUUGAUAUCUGAUUUGAGAAAACAGCAUCAUAGAACGUAAGUAGAAGGUAGACUGUAGCAUUGAUCAUUGCUAUUUUGUACAUAGACAGUUCAACGAACUGCUCUGAUAGGGGAUGUUGAGGGUGACGACGCCGACGAGCAAGUCGGCGUCUGUAAAGCUUUGCCGGAGCCAUUCCAGCUCUUUCAAAGCCACAAGGCAAGGAAGCCGAGGAACCAAGACGCCAACGGUGCGGAGCCGUUUGCCAUCGAGAGGACUAGGGCUGCCAUCAGGGACCUCUAAACCAAGCUCAACAUCUCCCUCCAUCAACAUCGUGUCCCGGAGGGUCGUCGCCGUUCGUGACGGCGAGCUACUGCCGCCGCAUCGUCAGACGGCGAGCUACUGCCGCCGCAUCGUCAGCCGCACGGUUAGAGGGAGGCAUCAAGGGCCUGCCACCGCUGUCGGGGCCGACAUGCGUGCAAUUUCUAUUAAUGCAUCUUAUGUUGCCAAACAGCAACAUGCUCCUGUCGAUCCUAUAUCAUUGUGGGCGUGGCAUACCAGUUUCUUCCUCAGAUGAUGUUCCAAUAUAGUAAGUUCCAUCAAGAAUUGCAUGUACAUGUGCCGCUAUCUUGAUCCAAAAAGGAAAGUAAAAAGGGUGUUCAUCUACCUGGCACCGCCCAGAUGCCCCUUAAGCGGCGCGCCCGUGGCGCGCCCCAACUACUAGUUCUUACUAAACAUGGCUAGAUUGGGGGCAAUGGAAUUAACUUCUUUUCUAACUUUAUCAAUCAAGUUUUCCUUGUUUUUUGACCGAA